rnacentral:rRNA from 1 species
UAGGGAAUCUUCGGCAAUGGACGAAAGUCUGACCGAGCAACGCCGCGUGAGUGAAGAAGGUUUUCGGAUCGUAAAACUCUGUUGUUAGAGAAGAACAAGGGUGAGAGUAACUGUUCACCCCUUGACGGUAUCUAACCAGAAAGCCACGGCUAAAUACGUGCCAA